AUUGAACGCUGGCGGCAUGCCUUACACAUGCAAGUCGAACGGCAGCACGGGUGCUUGCAGCUGGUGGCGAGUGGCGAACGGGUGAGUAAUACAUCGGAACAUGUCCUGUAGUGGGGGAUAGCCCGGCGAAAGCCGGAUUAAUACCGCAUACGAUCCACGGAUGAAAGCGGGGGACCUUCGGGCCUCGCGCUAUAGGGUUGGCCGAUGGCUGAUUAGCUAGUUGGUGGGGUAAAGGCCUACCAAGGCGACGAUCAGUAGCUGGUCUGAGAGGACGACCAGCCACACUGGGACUGAGACACGGCCCAGACUCCUACGGGAGGCAGCAGUGGGGAAUUUUGGACAAUGGGCGAAAGCCUGAUCCAGCAAUGCCGCGUGUGUGAAGAAGGCCUUCGGGUUGUAAAGCACUUUUGUCCGGAAAGAAAUCCUUGACUCUAAUACAGUCGGGGGAUGACGGUACCGGAAGAAUAAGCACCGGCUAACUACGUG
rnacentral:rRNA from 1 species